GCUUCCCCCGCCCCCUCCCCGCGCAUGCGCGCUUCCCCCCCUUGCUUCUUCAGGUCUAGGUUGGCCUCCUCUUAAAGGGCACCGCAUCCAUGUCUGGGCUGAGCUGGGAACACAGCCUGCAGCCUCAGUGGAGACCCCUGGUCUCUGCUUUAAAGGGAGGGGGGUGGGUUGGGUAUCAUAUUAGGGGUUGCCUACACCAGGCAGCACUAUCCGCCAUGGCCUGUCUGCAGGGGGACCAUGGCACCUCAUGCCAAGGCGUCCCCGGGAGCCUUAGCACAGUGCCGCAGUGGCCUCCCCCAUGCUCCAGUACCCCAACCUCACGCCUCACACCAGGGUGCCCCAGUACCCCCCUCACCCUCUGGCACUUCCACCUCCCAUUUUGCACCGUAGCACUCCCCACCUCACACCAUAGCACCCCGGCCACAUCGCCACAGCGCUCCCUUGCACGAUGACGCUCAUACUUCACACUAGGGCACCCCCACCUUAGGCCUCACAUCAUGGCAUCCAGGCCAUGAUACCAGUGUCCCUGCCUCUCCUGAUACAGUGCCCCCAUCACACACCACAACAUCCCCACCUCAUGCCAUAGUGCCCUCCCCUCUUGUACCUGGGACCAAUUGGCCUCAAUGAAGACUGGCUGCAUGUCACCACCCUCUGUUGGAUUGCCUGAUGCGGUAACGCAACUUUGUUCCAGUGACCAAGCUGUUCACAAGCCCCCAUCGAAGUCAUGCUUGAAGUCACCUCGUGGUAUCAUGACAUUACUCUUGGAGGCAUGUGUUCAGAUGCCACUCUGCGAAGUCCUCUGGAAUACAGCAUUUUCCACCUACCAGAUAGAUGCAUUCCAAAGAGACUACCAUCGCCCACUCCCCUGCUCUAGGGGCCUGAUCAGCACACGGGAGUCUAUAGGGUGGAUUAAAAGGAACUGGAUUACUCUUGCCACAGCUGCUUCCCACUGGUAGCAACAACACACAAAACUGAUAAUGACCCCCUAAAAUGCAAGGGGUGAAGAAAGCCCUUGCCAUUGUUCCUGGGCUGAG